rnacentral:rRNA from 1 species
UACGUAGGGUGCGAGCGUUAAUCGGAAUUACUGGGCGUAAAGCGUGCGCAGGCGGCUUUGCAAGACAGAUGUGAAAUCCCCGGGCUCAACCUGGGAAUGGCGAUGGUGACUGCAAGGCUAGAGUUUGGCAGAGGGGGGUAGAAUUCCACGUGUAGCAGUGAAAUGCGUAGAGAUGUGGAGGAACACCGAUGGCGAAGGCAGCCCCCUGGGCUAACACUGACGCUCAUGCACGAAAGCGUGGGAAGCAAACAGG